UGACAUUUGUUGAUGGAACUGUAGUAAAGUGUAUCCUGGUGAAACAUAUAAGUGCGGGCAGAAAUGGAGCUGCUCCAGCAGUUAUGAGCCUAAAGAGGUUAUUCUGCAAGUUAUGGGGAAGCAACAAGAACACCAACAUCCUGCCAACAACAAUUCAGUACCAUAAGGAGUUUGUGCAGGAACGAAAACUUCUUGAGUAUCUAUUGUUGCUUUAAUUUUGGGGAGCAAGCACUUUUUUUUUGAACAACUAAAAGCCUGUAAUUUGUGCAUAGCUUCUUCAAUGUAAUCUCUG